rnacentral:lncRNA from 1 species
GAAUAAAAGAAUUUUAGACUUUAUAAUUCUUCACAUGAAUAAUCUCUAUAAAGUGGUCGAAAGUACAACUUUUUGAUUUUAUUUCAUCUCUAAGAAUAUCACUUUAAAAUAUUGUUUAUUAAAACUAAACACUCUAAAAUCCAUACCCACUCUGUUGUGCUGUCUUCUGCAAAAGAAACUUAAGAAUUUGGGCUUGGAGCCAUUUGGAAUCCCAUCAUCUGCACUUAUUAGCUGUAUAACAUUGGCCAUAUUAUUUAACCAUGAUGAGCUUAACUUUGCUCUUUCUUUAGUGGAAGUGAUUGGUUUUUUUGUUUUUUGAGGAUAAGUUAGAUACUGCAUGUGGUAAGUGCUUAAUGAGUUGCAGUAAUGCUGAGGCUCUAAUAACAUUUUAUUUUUUUAUUUUUAUUUUGCUUUCAUAACAUUUUAAAAUGCCAUUGCUUUUGGUUUUGUAUCUCUUCUUCUCAAGAGGAACCUAUGCUCUGAUUUAUCUGUACUUAUUUAUAGCUGCUAUUAGAGUAAACAAUGUGACCUUCCUCGACAAAAUUGAGCCCCUGUCCCUAAUGGAACUUUUUAACUUUUAAUCCUCAGCACUGAGUGGUAUCCACUCCUUGUAACAUGCUGCAGUAAUUAAUUGAAGGGCAAAAUCAUGAUAAUCUUGACAGAUGCAGAAAAUGUACAUGAUGAAAUUCAACAUUCAUUUAUGAUGAAAAAAUGCUCUUAGCAAACCUGUUUAAAACAGACAUUCAAUGAUCUAAUAAUGGAUGUCUACAACAAGCAAAAUGACAAAAUAUUUAGUGAUGAGAUAAUGAGAUUAUUCCCUUCGAAAUUGGGAACAAGGAAGGAUAUUAUCACUCCUAUUCAACAGUUGCUCAAGUUCAUAGUAAUGCAGCAGGCAACACAAAAGACAUGAAAUUGUAUAAAGUUUUGAAACGAAAAUAUAAAAGUAAUUUUUUUUUUUUUUUAGGGCCGCACCUGCAGCAUACGGAAGUUCCCAGGCUAGGGGUUGAGUCAGAGCUGCAGCUGCUGGCUUGCACCACAGCCACAACAAUGUGGGAUCUGAGCCACAUUUGCAACCUAUACCACAGUUCACAGAAACACUGGAUCCUUAACCCACUGAGCAAAACCAGGGAUCAAACCUGCAUCCUCAUGGAUACUAGUCAAGUUCACUGGGACACAAAGGGACCUCCUGAAAAAUUUUAAAAUCAAUUUCUAAGACAACUUACAGAAUGGGAGAAAAUAGUUGAAAAUGAUACAACUGACAAGGGCUUAAUCUCUAAAAUAUUCAAACAACUUAUAGAACUCAACAGCAAAGAUACCAACAACCCAACUGAAGAAUGGGCAGAAGACCUGAACAGACAUUUCUCCAAAGAAGAUAUACAGGUGGCUAACAAGCACAUGCAAAAAUGCUCAACAUCACUGAUUAUUAGGGAAAUGCACAUCAAAAUUACUAUGAGGUGUACCACCUCAUGCCAGUCAGAAUGGCCAUCAUUAAUAAGUCCACAAAUAACAAAUGUUGGAGAGAGUGUGGAGAAAAGGGAAUCCUUCUGCACUGUUGGUGGGAAUGUAAAUUGGUACAACCAGUAUGGAGAACAGUAUGGAGGUACUUUAGAAAACUAUACAUAGAGCUACCAUAUGACCCAGAUAUCCCACUCUUUGGCAUAUAUCUAGACAGAACUUUCCUUGAAAAAUACACAUGCACCUGUAUGUUUAUUGCAACACUAUUCACAAUAGCCAACACAUAGAAACAACCCAAAUGUCCAUCGACAGAUGACUGGACUAGGAAGAUGUGGUAUAUAUCACAAUGGAAUACUCCUCAGCCAUAAAAAGAACAAAAAUGCCAUAUGCAGCAACAUGGUUGGAACUAGAGACUUUCAUCCUGAGUGAAGUAAGUCAGAAAGAGAAAGACAGAUACCAUAUGAUAUCACUUAUAUCUGGAAUCUAAUAUAAGGCACAAAUGAAUCUUUCCACAGAAAAGAAAAUCAUGGACUUGGAGAAUAGACUUGUGGUUGCCUAGGGGGAAGGGGAGGGAGUGGGAUGGAUUGGGAAUUUGGGGUUAAUAAUAGAUGCAAACUAUUGCCUUUGGAUGAAUAAGCAAUGAUAUCCUGCUGUAUAGCACUGGGAACUAUGUCUAGUCACUUAUGGCGGAGCAUGAUAAUGUGAGAAAAAGGAAUGUUUAUGUGUAUGUGUGACUGGGUCACCUUGCUGCAUAGUAGAAAACUGACAGAACACUGUAAACCAGCUAUAAUGGAAAAAAAUCAUUAAAUAAAAGAAAUAAAGGAAGGGAAAAUAAAAAUAAUAAAAUCAAUUUCUAUACAUCAGAAAGUGUCAGGAAAUUAAAUUUAGCAUAUGCUUUUAUAAUUACAUCAUAAUAUUAAAUAUCUAGUAAUCUGCUAGACUUAUAUACAAAAAUUGCAAUCGCUAAGAGAUAUUAAAUAAAAUCUAAAUCUAAAUUAUGUUAUAAAAUAUAAAUGGAUUGGAAAACUCAAUCUUAUAUCAAUUGUCCAUGAAAUGCUGCAAUCUAAACUCAACAAUUUUUAAAAAUUUGGUGAGCUGAUUGUAAAGUUUACAAGGAAAUGUGAAGGACUUAAGAGAGCCAUGAUUUUUUUGAAGAAUAAAUAUGAGAUGAGAGGACUUAUUCUCAGAUGCCAAAAUAUUAUAAAGCUACAAUAAUUAAGGCAGUGUAGUAUGGGUCAUGAAUAGACAAAUAGACCAAUGUAGAUUUGAAAUAAACCGAAGAAAUCAGGAAUCAUCUGCCACAUAUGGGAACAGUUGCCUCUGUGAAACAAAGCUCUGAGAUCUGGCUGGACUCCACUUUGCAUGGGCAGAUGCUUGAUUAUAGGCUCUGGGGGCCAAGGGAAGCUAUAUUAUGAUAUGCUGCACUUAAUUCUGCCUGGUAUGGCCACCUUGCUCCCAUUAAGCUUUAAAGCCUUUGUCAAGAAGCUUAAUUCUGUAGCUCAUCUGACUGUUUCAAAUAUUUUUGGUAUGAGGACAAGCCUGACUAGAAUUGAGACAAAUGCCAAGAUUCUUAAAGAGAGAAAGGGGACCAGAGUAUUCUGUCAAUCUUUUUUUCUUUUACUUUUUAGGGCCAAACCUGCAGCAUAUGGAAGUUUCCAGGCUAGGGGUUGAAUCAGAGCUACAGCUGCCAGCCUAUGCCACAGCCACAGCAACACAGGAUCUGAGCCACGUCUGCGACCUACACCUCAGCUCAAGGCAACACCAGAUCCCUGACCCACUGAGCAAGACCAGGGAUCAAACCUGCAUCCUCAUGGAUACUAGUCAGGUUUGUUACCCCUGAGCCACAGCAGGAACUCCUUUUGGGGGCAGUUUUUAUGGGCAAGUCAUAUCAGUUAAAUUGUCUUCUAAACCCGUAUUUUCCAAUGGUAGAGCUUUGGGGAUAAAGAGGAACGAUGUGAUAACAAACAGUAGAUAGAUCCCCAGUAGCUCCCAAUCCUGGUAGCCAAGUGCUAGGAGUAUAAACCAGCCAAGUUGUAAGGAUGUAAUUAAGGAAGUUGAGAGUGCAAAGGCAGGCAGGGUAUGACAAGUGAAAGUCUCACCUCUGGGAACCUGUCAAGAUAACACUGAGGAAAGAAGAAAGGUCUGAGCUUCUCUCAGGUGCCUGCCAGACUGACAGUGGUGACUUUUCAAUUAGAAAUUAAAUAAAUGCCACAAGUGUGGAUUCAGGAAGAUGAGAGAAUGGAGCUUCCCUGACCCAACUCUCUGUGUGGGAGGGGCUAAAAAUACAGGGGCUGAGUAUAAGCCAAGCACAUUUUUUUGUGUCUAUACUACUGUUUUAUUUCAGAAAAACUCUGUCUUUAUAUGCAGGUUAAUCUUUUUUAUUCUUACAGAUAGCUCUUUCGCCUUGUGAAAGGAGCUAGACCAGACUGUCACUGAAUUACUGUAUGCAGUAUUCUGAGAUGUUUGAGAUUUUUUCUUAAAAAUUUUGUUGAGGUGAUAAGGUCUCAAAUAAUUUUCUACUUGGAAAAGAUACUUUUAAAGUAGGGCAUUAAGGAUGCCUAACAAAGACAUAGAUAAUUUAUUAGUAAAUUAUAAAAAUAUAUUGUACAUGUUUUCUUAAGGAAAAUAUUACCUUGUUGGAUGAGAACUGAGAAAAAGCAGUAGAGAGAAAUAUUCUGGAGAAAAGCAAUGGACCUAAAAAGUUUUCCACUAAACAGAAAGUACAGAGGCCAGUGUCAGGUAUAGCUGGAUCCAGAUGCUCUCACAAUAUGACCAGAAAACUAACUGUAUUCAUUUCUGAGCUUCUUGCAUUUUUAUUUUCAUUCUCUAAAAAACUCUUCCCACCUGGUGGUAAAGAUGGACAGAAAAAACUCAAGUCUUUAUUCUAUCAUAUUCACAACUCUAGCAAAAUAAAUACAUCCCUUUUAUGAUUAUAUUAUUAAAAGUCUUUGAAUUGGCUCUGGUUUUCCAGGCCUGCGUGAUUGGGGCUGGGGUCAGUCUAAUCUGAAUCACGUAGACAAAAUUGUGCAAGAGUGCUGUGCUGAUGAACAUUUUUUUCCACUGCAAAAUAAUCACUAAGUGGAAGUGUGAUAAGUAUCUAUUGCUUAGAAAAUAUUUGUCAUGCUUCUAAUGUCCCCAGUCUUGCCAAUAUGCCUGCCUGGCUCUUAGAAGACAGUUGGGUUGUCUUCACUAGUGAAGUCUCCCUCCUUUUCAGGUAUACACACUUCCAGAUGGGUAAAGCCCAUGGAACCUGUGGUGUGCCAUAUUUUUUUUCCAUGAAAAUUUUAGUGAUUUAAAACCAGUGGUGUUUUUCAGGUCAUUGUGUUUCCAUUUAAUAAAGUACUUAAUAUGAGAAUUUUAAAGUUGGAAUCAGUACUCCAUAUUUUGGGCCACGUCUAUCCCUCAGCAUUUUUUUAAUGACAUACCUUAAUUUCAAAAGUAAACUCUUCCCCAGUCAUUCAACAUCCAUUUAUUAUGGGCCUGCUAGUUAUGAUCUACUUAGGUACAAGGUUUGUUAAUUAACAUGUAAAUCAGGGUCUCUGUCCACGAUAUCCAGCAUAAUGAAUCUCAUUUACCCCUGUUCAGAUCUGUCUCUUUUCUUUCUACUCUGAGCUUAGAUUUGCCCCCAUGUAAGAAGUUUAAAUUUUUCAACAAAAAUUAAGUAUUUCUUUUUAACUAAAGCUGUUUUGAAGGCACACUCUAGUGAGAGUAGUCUGAUACAAAUGACACCAUUCAUAGUGAACAACUAACAGGUCAGCUGCAGAUUGAGUCAUGUUUUAACAAGUAGAGCAUGUGUGUGAACUCUGACCCCCAGGCAAGGUUUCUGCAACUUAACAAUUAAAAUAGUGAAUGUAAUAAUCUCCUGAAAACUAUUGUACAUGUCAGAAACUCUAACCAAAGUAGUAUUGCCAGGCAUUGUUCUUGAAAAAACUUACAAUAAGAGAAAAACUUUUUUUUUUCCUGUUAUGCCUCUUUUUUUUCAGGAAGAAGCAAAAGGAAUCUUAAUGAAUUGGAGACAAUUGGAGGUGGUUUAUAAGGAUGAAGUUCAAAGGUUUUUCUUUAGAAGCCAUUGAGUUGGUAGUCUAGGAGAGCACCUUGUAGUGGUAUUUGCAUAAGGAGAAAGAUGUCAAAUAUUCAAAGAUGCCUUUACUCAAAGAGCCAGUGGCACUUAAGUGGCCAAAUAGCUUACAAGCACUUAUUAAGGUAAGCAAAGCCUCACUCAUUGCUUGUUGUCAGACAUCUGAUUCUAAUUAUGGGAGAGCUAGAUAAACGAUGAUGCUUGGGGUAGAUAGAAGCUGGUAUGCCUUUUCUAAGCUCAUUAGUGCUUACAGCUUGCCAGUUUACACAUACACACACAAGGGGUCUGAAAUAAAGACUAGUUUCUGUGUUGUUUGUGUCUGUAUUCUAGUGAUAAUCUUCUGCAGGGAUAAAUACAGCUUCAGAUGUAACCCUAGAUUAAAAAAGCAAAAAAUAAAAAAAAACCUAGCUUUCAGUUCACAUUUUCUCAAAUCACCCUCCAGCCCUAACCCCUGGAGUAUCACUGGAGCUGUAUUACUGUUAUUUCUCCCUAAAUCACACAAUCCCAUUUCUCUACCGUUUUUUGCUUUCCCUAACUGCACUCUAACCCCUGCCACAACAAGAUCAAAAACAACAUCAAGGAAAACCCCACAAAGGUUUUGUUUAAAUUCCCUUCUACCUCACUUUCCAUCAAAUAAAUUCCUUAGAAGUCAUAUCAUGAUUAAUAUUGUUAGUUUUCAGUAGAAUCAUUCCACUAAUUUCACAAAAAUAUGAAUCAUAAAGAUAGAAGAUUGAACAUUAUUUAUAUAUUCUUAUUUCUUCUACUUUUUAUGUUAGAAUCCUAAAAAACAAAAAUUGAUUUUUACUAAUGUGUCAUUGCUACAUAUGAAGCAUAUAUGAGAAAAUUUACUUAAAUUUAACUCAGUUUACAGUAGCCUCACCCAGCUUGCUAUUACUAUUAUCUUUCAAUAAUUUUUCUCCCCAGCUGCUAUCAGCUGCUACUUAAACCUAUGUGCUUAAUAAAUAGAGUUGGGGUGAUUUUCAUUUCUAUUUUCUUCUUUUCCAUAUUUUCAAAAAUUUUCAAGAGAUUUUGUGAUACUGAUCACCUCCUUGAACUGGGGAAAUAACCAGGAAAUACAUUCCACGUCUCAUUGCCUCUGAAUAACCACAUGCACAAGCAACCAUCGCUUAAGGAAGACUCAGAAUCCUAGGGACAACAGAUCAUGUGUGGUUACAGGCACCAUUUUAAAGAUCAGGCUAGCUCUGAGUUGCCAUGGCAAACUAUUUGAAAUAGUCUGCUCUACAGAUUCUGCCUGCUGUAUGGGGUUGUUUAUAUAGUCCAGUGUAAAUGAUAUCACUGGGAAACAACUAAGCUCCUAUUACAAUGACUAAAAUCAACAAGCAAUGACUUGCCAACAUAAUACUUGUUUAUUCUCAUCUUGGUAUGUGUUUCGUGGAAUACUCCUUACAAUUACCAUACACUUAAAAGGGGAAAUUUUACUGAAUGUAAAUUUU